AGUGUUUGCACAGGACCCGGGCGCAGCCACUGGGGCUGGCGAGGACACACCUGGUCCCGGCCAGCGCGGCGGAGGGCAUCGUGACUCCAGGCUGUACCGCGGCCCCCAACGAAGCACGUGACCCUCGUGUGGUCAUAAAGGGAGAGCACAGUUUUACGGGGAGGGACUGGGUAGCGGUCUCAGUAACAGGCAGAGUGCCAUAGUGUCAGUCCCUUUUCCCAAACUCCGAUCAGGAAGGGAAACACCCCCACCCACUCCGCUCCCAUCCCCAGAAGUCCCUCAGAAGCUCUUUUCUCCCCGAAGAGGACCCUGGGAAGGUGGCUCCCGCCUCACUCCUAGAGUGAAAUCCUCGCAGCCCUGCCCUCGCGGGCGGAGCAGAGACGCCGCCGCUUGGCCGGUUCACGCCUGUCACACAAAGCCGCCGAGGGUCGGCUGCGCCCCUGGCAAGGCUGUAGGGCUGGGGAUACUGAGUAUGACAGGCGAGGUCCCUGCUCUCAAGAACUUACAUGGGAGAGAAGGGGAGACAAGAUAAACAGAUGGAGCAACUCAACCCAAAAAGGUUGGUCUGUAUGGUGACGGAAUGUGGUCUCCCAGUUUUCAGCACAGCACUCAUUCAGCUAUUCUGCUCUUCAGAAAGCAGGAGGGAUGUGCCCUAAGGUGGACUAUUGAAAUGAUGAAAGCCACUGAGGAAGAGCCAGAGAAUUCUCGUAGCUGUGAUUAGACAUCAACCUUGGGCAUGCUAAACAUUUCAGCCUGGACACCCUGAGAAGAGCCAGUGCCACUGGUGACAGCUGCUUCUGUGCGGGCUUUUGCUUGGCCAGAGAGGCAGGACCUUCUCCCUGGCAUUUUGAGGAGUGGUGCCGGGUGGGCAGUGACUGCACUAGCAACAGUCUAUACCAAGAGAAGACCUCAAAUUCCCAGAGAAGAAAGGCAGCGAGGCCAAGAAAUGCUGCCGCCGCUUAACAAGUGAAGAUGCAUACUGGAGAAUAGGAACUGAACACGCGAAGGAGUUUCGGCUUUACUGCCUUCUCUCCUAGCAUUGAACAGAUCUUCUCUGCUGUUGAUUAUUCUCCAUGAAUCAUCAUCCAUAGAAAGUGACUGAGGCAAUAGAGAGUGAAUAAUGAAUCUCUCAAAUAGUCUUUUGUGUUUCUGCCUGGAGGGUUUUGGAAAUAACUUGCAUCUUAAUCUUUCUGACUUAGAAUCAUAGAAUUUGGGAGCUGAAAAGGACCUUCAUCAGGGCAUGUGGCCUCACAGAAAGACUGGAAGAAAAGAUUUGUGGGUAUGAGCCUCUGGUUCAUCACUAAAAAUAGGCCUAGUCUAACAUAUAUUGGAGGCUUUCCUUGUGUCAGGUACUCAUUUAUUCUUCCAAAACCUUGGGAGGUAGGUGCUGCUAUUCCUCCAUUCUGCAGAGGAGGAAGAGAUGAGGAGACAGUAGAUCACCAGAGGGCAGUGUGAGGGGUGUGCUGGAACCAUCAUGUGGAACUGGCUCUGGUUCCAGAAUCCACAUCCUCUCGGUCAUUCCACUCCCACAUCAAGUGGCUUUGGACAAGUAAUUUAACUUCUUUGGAUCUCAGUUUUCUCCUCCGUGAUCUCUAAAGUUUAAAAAUUACUAACAGUCUGCAUCUGCCACCCAAGCAUGUGAUUUUACAAGUCAGAAAAGUGUAGCGCAGAAAUGUUAAGUGACCUGCCCUAGGUCACCCAGGUUGCUAAGGGCAGAAUCAGCACAGAAACCCAGGCCCAGUGACCACUGCCCCCAGGCAAGACCUCCUUCCCUUCCACUGCACUUUGGCAGGUGUUCUAGGGGAAUCCAACUCCUUGCCUUAGAGGAGACCUGUUCAAUGAUAUCAGAUAGACUGGAGAUGUUACGUUUUGGUGUGGCCAAUCACAACACCAGGAUGAGCUUAGGAGGCUGGUGAUAUUUGUCUAUCUAAGCACCCCCAACCUAUCUAUCUGUCUGCUGUUUGUCUAUCUUUCUCAGGUUAUGCAUAGUGACCAAACCCCGCCUGGUAACUGUAGGGAAAGAGCAUGACUGGUGUGUUACAGCUACACACGCCCCCUGGUGGUAUUUCCAGUUGUUUGUCCUCUUCAUGCAAAUGUUGCCACCUUGUGCCAGCUCUCUCACCUAGCUUCCUUCAUGACGACAGUGGUUGCAAUUCUGCUCCUCUCUCUGCCUUCCCCUGUCCUUGGCUCCCCAUGUCCAGAAUCUGAUCAUUUACUGGUGUGCACCCUGGGAUGUGAUGUGUGCUUUGGGAGGAGACAGGACCCAACAGUAUCUCAGCUGUGCUCUGGAAGUGGGUGCUCAGCACCUCUUGUUCUCCUAAUCAGCUCAGAGAAGAGACAAAGGCCUCUUCAAGGGAAGCCCUUACUUAGGGUGAUAGAAAUUCUUUUUCUUUUUGCUCCUUUGUGUCACAUUCUUCCAUCGGUCAGCAGGCAACUGACAGGUGUACCCCUCCCUGAGCCCCAUUCAGAGUUCCCCUCCCUGCCAUUUGUCUCUCACCCAGAUAUCCAGCAGACACCACCAUCCACAGGAGCUGAAUAUGAUUAGCAGAAACCCUUCCUGACAGCUCCAAAGAGGAUCCCUCAAAUGCAUAUUCUAUUGAGUGCAUCUCAUUGCUGCUGACAGCCGCUUUAUCAAUUAAAUUCCACAUUCCGUCUUCAGAGAUGCCAUGAACCUCCCUAAUAAAUCAUAGGCCCCCAGUUAUUGUUAAAUGUCCCAUCAGUCUCUAAUAAACUCCCUGCCAAAAGGGGCAGGUUAUUUAUUAUGCUGCCUGGACAAGAAUAAAUUGGGCCCCUUUCUCGAAAGAAGAGCAAACACGCCACCUUCCUCCCUAAAGACUGAGGCAGUGGUGUUAAAUGGGACAAUUAAUCAAUGUGGGCCUUGUGCAGAGAGGAAUCUGGUCUGAAGCCUGAGGGAGGAUCACCUGGGGUUCUCUUCCAAAGCCAGUCAGGCAAUCCCCAUGGUGGGGGGUGGCUGUGCAGUGGGCAUGGGCUCAGGCUUUUGCUAGUUCUCCCUCUUUCCUAAUUCCUGAGGCUAGUCACCCCAUAAGCCAUGAGACACAUGUAAAAAUGGGUAUUUUCCACGUUGGGAGGUAGCCAGCUAGGAUUGAGCAGGGUCAUGAAAUAAUACAUUCUAUCUAGAAGGGCAGAAGUUGUUUCUUGAUAAACUUGAUACAACAUAAGUUUAUAGAUGGUGCCAGUUCACUGAACAGAUGGCUCAAGAAUAUAACAAUGAAAGUACCCGUGGCUAGGCAAAGCAACUAGGAAGCAUAAGCUAGUUGUGCUUUGCUGGAUAAGCAGCAUGUACAUAGGGGUGGCACUGGCACUUGGAAAGCAGUGUACCAACACCUAAAGUCCUAGGAACUGCUAGAUCUAAGAAACAGUGUGUGUUGUGGGCCUUUCCAUUACUUGCCUCAUAUUAGAUCCCAAACCUAGGUGAUGCUCCAAAGUCUGCAAGUUAAGAUCCAAACUGCUCGGCUUUGCCACUACCCAAGCCCCAAGUUACAUUUCCAGCUGUAUUUCUCUUUACUGCUAAAUAACACUACCCCCCUUUGGAAGAGCAUAAUGGAUGAGGUGCUCCUUAAUAUAGGGCCAGUAUAUCUCUGCAUCCUCAUGUCCAGGUCAUUUCUGCCAUACCUGCCUCUACUCACAGUAAAAGACUUAACUUCCCUAAACAACUAUGGCUUUCAUGCUUCCACGCCUCUACACAAACUGUUCUCUGUGCCUAGAAUAUCUUUCUGAGACUUGUCUGCCUGGUGAGCUCUCUUUCCACUCCCACUGCCUGAUGAACGCCUUAUUCAGGAUAAGCUCAGGGUAUCAGCCCCCACUGCUUCACAGGACUUGAGCUUUGUCUCCUGGUGCUGCUGUCUUGGCAGAAGUGCUGGACUCCAGGAAUUAGGUAAACAAUGAUCUUGUAUGUGCAGUUGUUCUCUCAUACUUCCAUACAUACUUGAAGCAACUUUGAUUUGGGGUGUGGAGGAGAAGGACAUAGAGAAGAAAGCUAUUGCUCUUUGAAUACCAAAAGCUGUUUUCCUCAGUUUCUCAGAAGUUCUCACUCUCUCCCACGACAGCCACACUUUGAACAACUAAGGCCCUGAAAAAAUGUCAGUACUGCAUAUGAUUUUACACCAGCUUGUGCUACUUGCAUAUUUCAUGCUUGAUCAUUUCCCCAGCUGGGCUGUCAACUCUUUUAGGACAGAGGAUAGAAAGAGCCUAGACUUUGCUGUCAAAUAGAUCUGAGUUCCAAUCCCAAUUAUGAGCUCUGUGACUUUGAGCAGAUUACUAAUCUUCUUCUGAGGAGUUACUUGAGGGCAGCAUCUCCUUCGGCAUCUGACAUGUAGAAGGCUUUUAGGAUAAAGUCCAGACACCAACCUGGCCUACACUUCACUCUCCUGCUCAUCAAAGCUUACUGUCCCAUUUGCAUUCUAAGCUCUUUUAGAAUGUGCUAUGGUGGUCCUCACCUCCAGACCUCCGUUUUCCCCUCCUCUGUCACAAGGCCAACUUUGAUUCAUUUUUCAGACUUACUGUAGCUCUCACUAAUGCUAGGAAGAUGUGGCAGAGACUGUUAGUUGCCUCCAAUGUCCUUUCCCCCUUCCUCUAUAGUAAUGGACCUCCUCUCAAAUCAGUGUACAGCUGGGCACGUGAUUGUCCAGAAAAAUGACAUUUCCCAGAUUUUUUUUUUUUUUUUGCAAGAAGGUAUAACUUUAUGGCUAAGUUCUUUCCAAGAAAUGCCAGAUAGUGUGGCAGCUUUUGAGAACAUUUCUUAAAAGGACUGCUGGCAUGAUGACCAUUACCAUUUCUACUUUCUAUUUUGAGUCUUCCUCCUUCCUGCUGGCUGCAAUGCAAACGUGAUGACUGGAACUACAGCAACUGUUUGGGGACCAAGGCAGAAGCCUGGGUGAUUGGGAUCUUUGUGGAUCAGGGCUGUUUAUCAGUCCUGCUUCCAGAAUUCUCUACAAGGGCAAAAUGAACUUCUAUCUUGGGGAGGUAAGCUCCUAUUUUGGGGCCUUACUUUCAAUCAAACCUAAUCUUGAUGGCUAAGUCUUUCUUGGCUCCCCACAUCUGGUUACCUCCUUGACUUCAGUAGCACCCUGCACUUUAUACAGGAAAUGAGGAUACCUGUUUGUGUGCAUCUGUCUCCCCAAGUGCAGAGGCUCUGUUUACUUUGUUCCAUUUUUGUAUCUCUAGCACUUGGCUGGUUUAUACUAGGUGUUCAGAAAAUUUUUGUUGAAUGAUUAGAGAUGUUUUGUAGAUUGAAUGCAAAUAAUAAUAUUGCCUACCUUGUGUUGCUUUGAGGGUCAAAUGAGAAAAAGUGGCUUUAAAAUCUUAAGUUUUCUUCCCUUCUUUCCACAUUCCCCCACCGAUCCUCACACCCAGGGUGGGCCACCUUACAGUAUGCCUUCCUUUAUACUGUUUUCUUUUUCUUUUUUUUUUUUCUUUUGAGACGGAGUCUCGCUCUGUUGCCCAGGCUAGAGUGCAGUGGUGUGAUCUCGGCUCACUGCAAGCUCUGCUUCCCGGGUUCACGCCAUUCUCCUACCUCAGCCUACCGAGUAGCUGGGACUACAGGUGCCCACCACCACGCCCGGCUAACUUUUUGUAUUUUUUUUCUAGUAGAGACAGGGUUUCACCAUGUUAGCCAGGAUGGUCUUGAUCUCCUGACCUUGUGAUCCGCCCACCUCGGCCUCCCAAAGUGCUGGGAUCACAGGCGUGAGCCACCGCGCCUGGCCUGUUUUCUUUUCCUCUGGGUUCAGAAGCCUCCAGUGCAAAAUGAUUGGAUGAGAUCAUUUGAAUCUUAACACCCAUUCUGAGUCUAAGUGUCACUCUCACCUUUUCAGUUCAUAGGAAUCUCUCCCUCCUCUAGCUCCCUGGAAAGGCUCUCCAGGUAGAUGGAACAGCAAAUACAAAGGUAUUGAGGUGUUACAAGUCAUGGAGAAUUAAGCAUCUGGGCUAGUUGGGUCUGGUUGGAGGAGGUAGAUGGGCUGCUCUGCCAGAGAAGAGACAGGGAUCCCACUGUUAUUUAUCCCGGGGGAGGCUGGGAGACAGACACAAUCAAGCCCAUUUCUGUAUGUGUUAUGCUCACACCUUACCUAGUUAUUAAAUGAUUUCUUGCUUUUGUGCAAGAGAUCUUUAUAGCACUAAAAAUUAUGGUCAACAACACUGUUAUAACUUUUGACUAGUGAGAAAAAAAAUUUGUGUUAUUCACCAUGGUUCCCAAUAACAUUACUGCAAUAUUUGUGUCUGUAAAACAUCAAAAACAACAAAUGCAGUAACAGAA
rnacentral:lncRNA from 1 species